UCCUAUUAGCAACCGGAGGCUUCUAAACAAGUUGCCCUCCCUCCGCAUCUUCUGCGGCCCAACUACCCUCGACCACCCCGGGUUUGGCGGGCCUCCGCCUGGCCUCUCCCGCUCCUCGGGGCUGCGACUCCCGCCGCCGCCAUGGCAGAGUUGGGCCUAAACGAGCACCAUCAAAAUGAAGUUAUCAAUUACAUGCGUUUUGCUCGUUCAAAAAGAGGGCUGAGACUCAAAACUGUAGAUUCCUGCUUCCAAGACCUCAAGGAGAGCAGGCUGGUGGAGGAGAGCUUCACCGUGGACGAGGUCUCCGAGGUCCUGAGCGGGUUGCAGGCUGUGGUCUACAGCGAGGUGGAGUCUGAGCUCAUCAACACGGCCCACACCAACGUGCUGCUUCUGCGGCAGCUUUUCUCCCAGGCUGAGAAGUGGUACCUUAAGCUGCAGACCGAUAUCUCUGAACUUGAAAACAGAGAAUUAUUAGAAGAAGUUGCAGAAUUUGAAAAAGCAGAAUUUACAUCUUCAAAUAAAAAGCCCAUCAUAGAUACCAUGAAGCCAAAACUUGCUCCACUUAACGAGGGUGGAACCACGGAACUCUUGAACAAGGAAAUUUCCAGACUUCAAGAGGAGAACGAGAAAUUGAAGUCAAGGCUGAAGACCAUUGAAAUGCAGGCAACCCACGCAUUAGAUGAGAAGUCAAAGCUAGAAAGAGCCCUGCAGGAUUUACAGCUCGACCAAGGAAAUCAGAAGGAUUUUAUAAAAGCCCAAGACUUGAGUGAUUUGGAAAACACAGUUGCUGCUUUGAAGAGUGAGUUUCAGAAGACACUUAACGACAAGACAGAAAACCAGAAGUCCCUGGAGGAGAAUCUGGCCACAGCCAAGCACGACCUACUCAGGGUUCAGGAGCAGCUGAACAUGGCUGAAAAGGAAUUAGAGAAGAAAUUCCAACAAACAGCAGCUUAUCGAAACAUGAAAGAGAUUCUCACCAGGAAGAAUGACCAAAUCAAAGACCUGAGGAGAAGACUGGCCAAGUAUGAACCUGAAGAUUAAAACCCAAAGAUGAUUUCUUCUGGAAGCUGCCACCACGCAAAAGUACAAGCUAUUUCACACCUGAGAGGCUUUAUGUUAAAAUAUCGAAGGAACAGAUGACGAAGGGUAAGACAGACAACCUCCCCGGAAAAGGACACAGAAGGCAGACUUAAAAAGAUGAAUGAAUCAGAGAAAGCAGGGAAAAAUCCAGCAAACCAGCAUUUACUGCAUAUUCUCCCCCCACCUACCUCCCACCGUUCCGGUCACUCAUCAAUCUCCCUUCUUUCUAGAGCUUUUACCCGCAUAGUGCUUUAGCCCCGAAUCGAUACCCUCUCCAAAAAUCUAUCCCAUGCCUUAAGGACCAGGAUGGUCCAUAUAAUUCAGAAACAGAACGUGCUAGUAUUAUCCGUCAGAGACCAUUCAGUCAUUCCCUCCCUGCGUCUUUCUGAAUGUGACGCCCACGGGGGAGGAAGAGGUGUUGAGAAACCUGUAUUGCCAAGUGGAAUUUCAGCUUGUUUUUUGGUAGCAACUUUGAAAUAUUCUGUCUGGUGUGUUCCAGUUCGAUAAUAAAUUCAAAAGUAUUUCUGGGGCGCCUGGGUGGCACAGCGGUUAAGCGUCUGCCUUCGGCUCAGGGCGUGAUCC